UACGUAGGGGGCAAGCGUUGUCCGGAUUUACUGGGUGUAAAGGGCGUGUAGCCGGGCUGACAAGUCAGAUGUGAAAUUCCGGGGCUCAACCCCGGACCUGCAUUUGAAACUGUUGGUCUUGAGUAUCGGAGAGGCAGGCGGAAUUCCUAGUGUAGCGGUGAAAUGCGUAAAUAUAUGUAAGAACACCAGUGGCGAAGGCGGCUUGCUGGGUCGAUACUGACAUUGAGGCACGAAAGCGUGGGGAGCAAACAGG
rnacentral:rRNA from 1 species